rnacentral:rRNA from 1 species
AUUCCGGUUGAUCCUGCCGGAGGCCAUUGCUAUCGGAGUCCGAUUUAGCCAUGCUAGUCGUGCGAGUUCAGACUCGCGGCACCGAGCUCAGUAACACGUGGCCAAACUACCCUACAGAGACGGAUACCCUCGGGAAACUGAGGUUAACCCGUCAUACCGAUCUCAGGCUUGAAUCGCAGAGAUCACAAAACGCCCCGGCGCUGUAGGAUGUGGCUGCGGUUGAUUAGGUAGACGGUGGGGUAACGGCCCACCGUGCCCAUAAUCAGUACAGGUUGUGAGAGCAAGAACCUGGAGGCGGAAUCUGAGACAAGAUUCCGGGCCCUACGGGGCGCAGCAGGCGCGAAACCUUUACACUGCACGCACGUGCGAUAAGGGGACUCCGAGUGCGAGGGCAUAUCGUCCUCGCUUUCGUGUACCGUAGGGUGGUACACCAACAAGGGCUGGGCAAGACCGGUGCCAGCCGCCGCGGUAAUACCGGCAGCCCGAGUGAUGGCCGAUCUUAUUGGGCCUAAAGCGUCCGUAGCU